CAGUCGCCGCGGUAAUACGUAGGUGGCAAGCGUUGUCCGGAAUUAUUGGGCGUAAAGGGCUCGCAGGCGGUUUCUUAAGUCUGAUGUGAAAGCCCCCGGCUCAACCGGGGAGGGUCAUUGGAAACUGGGAAACUUGAGUGCAGAAGAGGAGAGUGGAAUUCCACGUGUAGCGGUGAAAUGCGUAGAGAUGUGGAGGAACACCAGUGGCGAAGGCGACUCUCUGGUCUGUAACUGACGCUGAGGAGCGAGAGCGUGGGGAGUGAACAGGAUUAGAUACCCGGGUAGUCCCUGUCUCUUAUAC
rnacentral:rRNA from 1 species